ACUGCGCAGGUUUGGUAAUUGGAAAUAACCCGAACCAAACGGUCACACAUGACCGAAGAAACAAAUAGGCAGAGUGAUCUGAUAUAAUAAGCUAUUUUUCACGCACCAUUUAACCACACUCUAAAACCCCCUUCUCCGAUUUAAGCUCUUUCCGGUCCCAAUUUUGCAGAUUCGACCGAUCUCGCAACAGGUUUUUCUGUAUUCCCUUACUUGAUCUCGCAAUUUGCUUUUCAUUUUCAUUUGCCGGAUUGAUUCCUCAAUUGCGCGGUCAUUUGUUAGUUCUUUUUUUUUCCUCUCAAUUUUCUGGAAUAUUGUGAUGAUUUAUGAAUCUGCCUUUAAAAUUAUGACGCAGCGUAAUGGGCCCUUCUUGAUUGGUUUCUUUUUUCUGCCAUUUCGGCAGUGUUUAAGGUUCUAAAAAAGGUUUCGGACCAAAGCAUAGAGGUUUUAGGUUUUUAUAGUGCCAGUUCUUUUCACUUGUGGCAUUAGGGUUUUUGUGACGUUUGGUUGAAGACUUUCUGUCUCCAUGGAUCUUUCAGACCUUAAUUCCGCUGAAAUGCAGAAGUUCUACUCUUAGGUAAGCAAGUUCACACUCCAAAUUCCAUUUCGAAACUUCACCAGCUUCAACGCUCGACACUUUCUCUCUCUCUCUCUCUCUCUCUCAAUCAUUCGCUGUUAUGUGAGAUUGAAAAAAAGACAGUGAGUUUUGAGCGCAAUGCAACUCUAAAUGACAUCUUCCAGCAGCGUUUCACCAAAACCCCCACUCUCGUCAAUGGCUUUUCCAACCUCUACGCCAUGGAGGUGGAUCCUACUGUUGAGCAUGAGGACAUGGGUGGCGCUGAUGGGAUGGACUCCUUGUUCUCCGAGCUCGCCGGCGCGAUUCCCAGGAUUGAUGAGGCCAUGAGCUUUGCUGAGAUGUUGAAGGCUAUUGCAAUGGAAGGAACAGAAAACAGAGUCUCAUUACUGACUAUCCACUCAAAAUAUUGGUGCUUGAUAUUUGCAAAGAUACCAUUGUGGGUGAUGAAAUGCAGAGAGGUGUAUCUGGUGGCCAAAAGAAGCGUGUAACCACAGUCAGGACACUGCAUUUUGAUACCUGUGGAACUGCAAAGAGUACUUGGAUAAGGCAGUUCACAUUAUCCUGACAACUGAUAAUGAUCCACUGGGUCAAGCUUUAGCAGAAUAGCUGGCACGGCGCCUUGGGCAAGAAAGGUUGUAUAUCCUGUCAUUUAUUUUCCAUGUUAAACAGUCUGUAAGUACCAAAUAUAUCCUGUCAAUAAUCAAGGUUCAAGACACAUAUUCAUGGUACCUCAACUACUUAAUGUAUUAUUAGGUUCAUGCAUGCAAAGGUGUCCAUAUCUAACUGAUAAAUCAAAAUGUGAACCAAAUUUGGCACUCUAAUAAUGGUUCAGAAAGUUUAUUGGAUCUAAGGGAUCUAAGGAUAGGUUAUGCAUUCUGUUCUUUUCCAACACUUGAGGCUUGUGAAAUAAUAAAUGUUCACUUUUGCUUUACUUUUUCAAUUGUGUCAUGUACUUUGCAUUUGUCUACUUAUUUGUCUACUUAUUGUAGUGCCAGCUGAAUUCAGAAAUACUGAUGAGUGAUUAUUUACUUUAUGUGCUGACGGGCUGCUUGCAUUUUAUUUAGGGAAUAGGGGCUGCAAGGUAGUUGGAAUCUGAAGGCAUACAGACACAUUUAACCUUUGUCUACAUGUAGUUGUUUUAAAAAAAUAUUUUACAGCAAGCUCUUGAGCUUAAUACAUGAAGGAUUCUGAUUAAUGGGGUACUGAGAUUCCACUUGUACCAUCUAAAGGGUACUCAGAUUAUUGUUGUAAAAAGUUGUUUGUGACAUAAAUGGGUUUCAUUUUCUUUUGUGCCUACCUGCCUUAUUUAGUCCACGAUUUUAUAGGCUAGCCUGUGAACCAAGAAUAAACAAUAAAAUGUAAAAACUAAUAAUAAGUAAACUAAAAAUUUGAAAAUUUUAUAACUUAUAUUUUUAUUUUUAAUUGAUUAAAUUUCAAUAUACAGUAAAUAUAUCAAUGAAACACAAGUCUGUUUAGUGGGUGUGGUAAAGGAAAAAUAGAAAAAGAAUGUUAUGUAGGACAACUCUGGUUGGAAGUGUCAAUGAGAAAAAUAUUGGAACAAAAAUUAAAAAAUAAAAAAUAAAAAAUAGAAAAAAAUUAGAGGACUAAAGUAGGAUGAGAAAACUUUUUUGUCAUAGAGCCCAUUUCAGUUGGUUUACUCCAAAACUUUUUUGUACCUGAGUUAGAGUACCCGUGUACCCCAUUUUUAUAAUUAUUUAUUUAUUUGCUGAUAGAAAAAACGUAGGAAUGACAAUUUAGAACCAUAUUCAAUGAAUACCUAUAAAAAUUCUCACCAUAUAUACGAUAUAUAUACCAAUCAAAUGAGUUAAGUUCUAAUGAGUAAUUACUUAAGCAUAUUCAAUGUCUUACUAUCUUUAGAGUUUCUUUAAUGAUGUCUUAGCAUAUUUUGAAAGUUCAAAAUCAAAUUAAUUCUUAACAAUAGGUUCAGGUCAUGUAGAUCUCUACAUUGUUGUUUCCUUUUGUUAUUUUCUUUUGGUUCUUUUGUUGUUGUCUUUAAUUUAUACUUCCAUAAAGCUUUUGUGGACAUUUCUGACUUUCGCCAGUAAUUGGUGUAAAUUAGGAUCCAAAAGCCUUGGUCAAGACUCAUUCAUAUUUGUUCCUAAUGAGGAAAACUUGUUGUCACAUUCCCAGGUGUGCUCUUCAAUUCUGCAAGUCCCCGUCCCUGCAAAGAUGCUAUGAUUUGAAUUUUAACAUCAAUGGGUAUCAUCAUUCAGUUGCUGUUGUUGUUGUUGUUGUUUUUCUUUUCAGAGAAAGAUGGUUCAGUGAUGCAUGGACUGGAAAGUCUAUCUUGAACAGCCAAACUUUGUAUCUGCUAUCAAAUCUUUCUUUUAUAAUAAGGAUGGAGGGAAUCGUAAAUGACACUCUUCAAUCCUUAUUUUGUUACCUUAAAUAAAUGAAUAACUAAAUGUUAGAUGCUAGUCACAGUAGUGUACCUUCUAUCAUUAUUUGUAUUUCUUUGUAUUGUGGAAUAACUUUCACGUGCAUGUGCCUAAAGUAAUUGGUUAUGUCUCAGUGAAUUGAAACAUUCAGAGUAGUACAGAUAUUUUCCUUAUGUAUACUUAUAUGGCUAUUUGCUUCCACUGGGAUGUUUUGCAGCUUUCUUAUUUUUUCUUGGAUCUCCUUGAUUUGGAUGAGGAGGCUGGCAUGAUCCAGAAGUCAACUAACCAAACUGAUCAAAAUGAGAAUGUAUUUACUUAUUAUUUCUUUGGCUUUUUUGGGAUUCAGAUUUGAGAAGAAAACAGUCUAUUCCAAAAUCCCUAAAUCAAAUGGCGGAAGAAGAAUCUGGACUACUAAUAGUCAAUUUGCAUGCAUCUCAUUGUGCAGUCAUGAACUUAGGGCUCCAAUUUUUUUUUUAUAUUUAGUAGUUUUGGAAGGAUUGAAAAAUAAAAUUAAGGAUUUUCUUUCCCCAUAUGACUACAGGUGAUCCACCCCAACAGAAGACAAGUCAAGGAAAUGAGAAAAAGAAAGAAGAUGAGAAUAUUACUCAAGGCGAUCCACCUCAAUAGGAGAGAAGUCUAAGAAUCGAGAUAGAGGAAGAACUCAAGAAUAUUACAAAAGGCGAUCCACCUCAACGGGAGAGAAGUCAAAAAAUUGGCAUAAAGAAAAAGUUCAAGAAAAUGACACAAGAGUAUGGAGAUGCGCGACAGAGUUCCAACAGGCUAGCUAGGGUUUUGAAAGUAAGAAUAACAUGAUGAUGAUGAAGAGAGAUCAAGUCUGAAAGCAAGCAGGGGCUAUUCUCGUUCUUCAACUUGCCAAGUCUGCUCAACUUGUUACUGUGAAGGGUGCAUCAAGUGCCGCUUUGAGGAUUGCAAUUGCCAAGAAUGCAGAGACUUUAUGCUAUAUGCUAAACCUUAACUAGGCUCUGCAAAGUGCCAUUUCUGAAUUGACUCAUUUGGCACCUACAUGAAGACAUGAAAACUAUAUGAUGUUGCGGAGAAACUUUGGACCUCUUUAUUACUGUUUAAGAAAGUUGUGACUUUUUUUCUUUUCCUUUGGGGAACUUCUAGAUGGUACCAUCUUGGCCUUUCAUUUGAUCAAAUCAGAACUAGUUCUCUUUGAAUAAUAUUGAGCUUGACAUGGUACUCAACUUAAAUUUUUCUUUUUUAUAUUAUCUUUUUAUACAAUUGUGUAUUGGAGGUGGAUUGAUGCUUA